GGAACUGAUGGAGAAGUCGAGGAGCCUCAGAGAAGGUCUGCUAGACUAUCAGCGGUAAGUUAUUUUGUUAUUAAAGAGAUUUUUACCAUUAUAUCAUUAUUUUGUUUUUAAAACUUUUCUGAUCUCAAAAGACUUGAGGAACUUUAAAUAUAGCUUGGAAAUAGUUUUUAGCACUUCUUGUGUUAAUUGACUAUUUAAAUCCUACAACCAACACUUGUUGGAUUUCAACCUACCGCUGAUCUCAGAGCAACAAGGUCAGAAAACAUAAUAUCUGCGCAAGUCAUUUUUUUUUUCCAGCAUAAGUUUUGCCAGUCAUUUAAGAAGAUGUGCUGACUUCAGGAUAGAGCAGAACAACAUAGGCCAUUCUGUGCAUUAUUUCAACUAUUUAUUUGAACGUGUAUUGUUUAGAUAUCCUUUUAUAUAUCAAAAAGUACGUUUGUGAAUGAAUCCCUUCAGAAACCAACAACUCCGAAACCUGAACCCAAACCGAAAAAAACUCCCAAGGUAUGUCCACUUUUCAUAAACACACUUUUGUAAUGAUGCUCAUGUAUCACUCAUCUCCAUGCUUUGGUGUGUAAUCUCAUACGUAUUGCUCUAUAUUCAUUCUUUUGCUCUGUCGUUUCCUCUCUGGCAGAAAGAGAAGGAAGUGAACGAUAAAAAGGAAGACAAGAAGGCAAAGGCAAAGGCUGAGGAGUCCAAGGAGGAGAACCAAUCAGAAAAUGGGGAGACUAAGACCAAUGAGGUUGAGAAAACUCCAGAUGAGGCGGCAGAGGCCGAGGAGGACCCGAAGACAGAGUAGCACCACGCCUGUCCAUCCAUCCGUCCAUCCUUUCCCUUUCCCCUCUUUCCUUUAUCUUCCUCUCUCUUUCCCAAUACUCUCUCUCCCUCUCCAGCUCUCUCAGCAACCUCCUCUCUGCCCAUCACCACCAGAGGAAUAUUUUUAUCAGCGAAUUUGUAAAUACUGGUUCAGGUUUUUAGCACAAAAAACAAAGCUGACUAAACGAGUCUUGUGUUCGGCCGCAGCUGUAUCAGGUGUCUACAACACGAGAGGUGUGGAAAAAGGCGGCGUCUUUCUUUCGUUUUGUUGAUUUUCUGUUUUUAUCUCUUCUUUCUUUUUUUUCAAGCGGAUGGUCUGUAGCUUGGUUUUGGAGUGGGAGGUGGGAGGAGGCUCUCAGUCUGUAUGUCCGUUAGUGCUCGUGAUGUUGCUCUGGAGUCUGUGAUGUUUCUGUAUGGGGUUUGUUUUAUUUUUCUUUUAAACGUAAUUGAUUGUCUUUAAGAAAGAGGAACGAGUUCAACAAAUGUAGAAGAAAAGCGAGAAAACAACUAAAGACAAACUGCUUACAUUCCAGGUUCAGCAUUAGAUGGUGACUCCUGGCUUUUUAAGAAUCAUACCACCUUUGCAAUUUGUUGAAACAUAACUGGGCUUCGUUAGGAGGCCGGAAAAAACCCUUCUGUUGUUAUAGAGGACUUUUUUGAAAUGACGGGAUUCAAAGAAAACGAAUUUAAAGCGUUUUUUGGAAUUUUUUUAACACUGAAAUUUCAUCUGUGAAAAAGUACUUGGUGUCCCCUAAUAAUGCUCUCGGUCUCACUCAAUAAAAAUCCAUCAUUGGAAUUUUCCUCAU
rnacentral:lncRNA from 1 species